UACAGAGGGGGCAAGCGUUGUUCGGAAUUACUGGGCGUAAAGGGCGCGUAGGCGGCCUGCUAAGUCGAACGUGAAAUCCCUGGGCUCAACCCAGGAACUGCGUCCGAUACUGGUUGGCUUGAAUCCGGGAGAGGGAUGUGGAAUUCCAGGUGUAGCGGUGAAAUGCGUAGAUAUCUGGAGGAACACCGGUGGCGAAGGCGACAUCCUGGACCGGUAUUGACGCUGAUGUGCGAAAGCGUGGGGAGCAAACAGG
rnacentral:rRNA from 1 species